CCGGGAAUUCGGGUUCGAUUCCGGAGAGGGAGCCUGAGAAACGGCUACCACAUCUAAGGNGGCAGCAGGCGCCCNNAUUACCCAAUCCUGACUCAGGGAGGUAGUGACAAGAAAUAACAACACUGGAAAUUUUAUUUCUAGUGAUUGGAAUGAUGGGAAUUUAAACCCCUUUCAGAGUAACAAUUGGAGGGCAUAG
rnacentral:rRNA from 1 species